GUAUUCAGAAUUUGCCUUAUGAGAAUAUACGAUACAAAAGCUACACUCCCAAUCUCCUAUUUACAUCAAAACAUAUAACAACAAUCCCAUACCAAAUUGUUUGAUUCACAUCACACCUAAAAUACAAACAUUUAGAAAGGACUCUUUCAAAACUUAAUUCAAGGAAGAAAUAUGCAAAUAUAUAUAAAACUAGAGAAGCCUCUUCCUGAAGUUUCUGGUGGUUGAUUGAUAAGUACGAGCGAGAAGACCCACACCAAUCCCAAGACCAACACAGACGCCAAGUCCAAU
rfam:Brassica napus, WGS project CCCW01000000 data, contig: 11898